rnacentral:rRNA from 1 species
ACUCAAAGGAAUUGACGGGGGCCCGCACAAGCAGCGGAGCGUGUGGUUUAAUUCGAUGCGACGCGAAGAACCUUACCUGGGCUUGAACUGCCCACGACCGCCCCUGAAAGGGGGUUUCUCUUCGGAGCGUGGGUGGAGGUGCUGCACGGCUGUCGUCAGCUCGUGCCGUGAGGUGUUGGGUUAAGUCCCGCAACGAGCGCAACCCCUGUCGCCAGUUGUACUUUUCUGGCGAGACUGCCCGGAGCAACCGGGAGGAAGGCGGGGAUGACGUCAAGUCAGCGUGGCCCUUACGUCCAGGGCGACACACACGCUACAAUGGCCGGUACAGCGGGCGUGCGACCGUGCGAGCGGAAGCGAAUCCCUGAAAGCCGGCCUCAGUUCAGAUUGCAGGCUGAAACCCGCCUGCAUGAAGGCGGAGUUGCUAGUAACCGCGGGUCAGCACACCGCGGUGAAUACGUUCCCGGGCCUUGCACACACCGCCCGU